UAAUGAAAUUGUGCUUGGAAUAAUUAGCAUUGUUCCUAACCUUUUUGUCGUGUUCGUUUCUCCCCAGUACUUUGGUGCUCCUGGUCAAAUUUGACCGGCCUGUUUUAACUGCUCUUACAUUAACACAUAAAACAUUGAUCAUUGCCAAAUUUUAUUUAACUCCCUUUUAAGCUGUAAAAUAUUUCUCAGACUACUGGUUUGAAUGAAUAACUGCAGGGGAUAUACAAGGAAUAAACACAGAAAUUGUGUGUGCGUGUGGUGGUGGUGGUGGAUUUGUGGUUGUGUACUAUCUGAUGGAUGAACGCAAUCUAGGGUCACCCAUUAAUUUCUUAUGGGGGUCAUUUUUGACCGGGAACACCACAGGUGUAACAAAGUUGACUAAACCACUCAAAAUUCAAUGAAAGCUGUGAUCAGCAAUUGUAUAUGUUCAAAUGCCUAGUGUGAAGGAUAUCAUGAGGCCAUGAGACAAUAAAAUGUAAAACACCCAAUUUAUGAUUGAUGAAAGUAAGAAAUCGGUCAGAUUUGACCAGAACACGACAGGAAGGUUAGCCUGUCCUAUAUUUCCUAACGUGUGUGUGUGUGUGUGUGUGUGUGUGUGUGUGUGUGUGUGUGUGUGUGUGUGUGUGUGUGUGUGUGUGUGUGUGUGUGUGUGUGUGUGUGUGUGUGUGUGUGUGUGUGUGUGUGUGUGUGUGUGUGUGUGUGUGUGAGUGAGUGAGUGAGUGAGUGAGUGAGUGAGUUUAUGCAUCAGCCAGUGAGAAAACUGUCUCAUCCAAUGCAAACUAAUAACUCAUGUAGCCAACUGCAUCACUACAAACUCAUACAUGUCAUACACAUAUCACAAUUAAAAACGUACUAGAAAAAACACAACAGCCACCCCUGGUCCAAACGUUACACGAAUCCUAACAAGUUGAACAUUAUUCGCAGUUUGCUGCAGCCACUCGAGGAGUCCGAUUCGCCGAGCAGAGCCAGGCGGCCCGUGGUGAUAUUAGGGACAGCCUACGUAACGGGAUAAAAACAGAUGAAAAGCUUCCGCCGUUCGUAAUAAUCCUGUCCUCAAACGACAGCGAGGGGAAACGAACCCGGCGUACCGAGCGAACCCUGCUAUACCCUGAUGCCGCCGCGUUCACUUUCGCACACUGGGAUCGGCGACGGAGGCGUCGCCUGCCGCGUUCGAUUUCGCGUUCACCGGCGUGCUGACGAGCGUACCCUGGGAAACGGCGUACCUCAGCAAGACGCCGGUCAACGCGAAAGUGAACGCGGCAGCGGCAGCGGCAGCGGCGUGCGGCGCGCAACGGUGCACCCGGUGAACCGCGCAAGGACUUCCUCGUUUAAAGGAACCCGGGCGCCCUCGAACAACUGCGACACAAAACCCCGCCGAAGCGUUCAAGUUUCGACCCGUUUCAUCGUUCCAGUGCCUUGGGGACAAGUUCACGGACUUUCUCUACUCCGGGCGAGGAAACGACAACAACAUGGACAUCGGGGCAACGGUGACGAACGGAGGCAGCACGUAGAAUCUGUGAGUUGAGUUUUUAAAAAAUAACUCUUGGUAAAGACCUUUGACUUAACUCCAGUGUGGUUGAAGCGGAGCUGCACGUAGACCUUACUUUGAUUUGCCACCCACCACAGCCACUUGGUCCAAUGCCCCGGCCCGAUUGGCGUUGACACUUUUAUUGCGAUUCACGGACUGUUCGUAGUUAGUUAUGUUCCCUUUGAUUUAGUGAUUGAGCACUCAGUUUGGGCUCUCUCCGCCCCCCCCCGGCAAAGAGCCACAGACCUCGGAUCCGUUGACCCAGUUUUUCGGUGACUUAGCAUUGUCACGACGGGCCGCUCACUCACUGUUUCCAGUGACUUGCAGUCUCACAGGUGUAGGCCAGAUGCUGUCGGACGGCGGGCCACAUCGUCCCUCAACCCCCUCAGCCUCCCUCGCCCCGGAGGUGGGGGUUGGUUGGAAGAUCUACCCCAGAGCGAAGGGCUUGAACCGUUUCCACGGGCCCCAGGAUUACAUGUAAUCUGGGUCCGCGUUUGACCCCGUAGUACCGCAGAGUCACCCCUUAUGCGGCUUUCAAGUCGGUGGUACGAAGCAUCUGUUUGAGAUAAUGUCCGGGGAAGAAGGGUCGGUUCCCUUGAGUUGGUGGCCUUAGCGGUUUUCAAGUUUAUAUGAGGCCGAUCAUAAAGAGGGAAAUAAAUGUGAUACAAUAAGUGUUCUAGCAGAUGAGGAGGUUGGCUACGGCUGUUUUCAGAACGUGUGUGGGAGUAUUCUCUGUCUGACUACGUUUGGUCUUAUUUUGCUCACCGUCGGGUUUGUCGUUUGUGGGUCACAUUAUGAAACGUUAUGCCCGGGGUCAUGUUGACCUUUUUGUGAUUUUUGCGAUGCAGGGAUUGGGUAAUUAUUACUUAUUUACCUAUUAGCACUUGCAAUAUUACAAUAUGGCUACAUGAAUUAACCGUUACUUAACAUAAGUUAAUGCAGUAAUAAGCAUUGUUAUGUAGCAUUGGCAUGAACACCAUGAACACCAUAAGUUAACAUGAACAUAAUUAGUAAACGUUUACUAGACCAUUAUUUAUUGUUAUCUAACUAACUUUUAGCUAUCAGUUAUUUCACGCUUAUUAGUGCAUUUGCAAAAGUUAAUUUCAGGUCACCUAAUGACCCUCACUGGAAAGUGUUACAAGGGACCCAUUUUAAAAUUACCAGCCCACAAAUGGCUGCUAAGUACCUCCUGCCUACCAAAUAAAGUAGCACACUGCCCAGAUGGCACUGAACGACUUCCAACAUAGCAUAGACUACUUGCCGAUUGUGUGAGUCAAAAUCGCUACACUUGUGAGUAUAAACAGAAGCAGUAAAUCAUUGUCUGACUGCAUCAUCAGGGAUAAGAAAAGAUAAGAUCCCAGAUGGGAAAUGUGGUAGAAAAGCAUUUGAAAAACUUCAGAGGCAGUCUUUGUUCUAUGAAUUGAUCAACCUGCAGAUAAGGUAAUGACUAAAUUAACAAUUUGUGUGAUACACAAAUACACUUAAAUACAAAAUCUGCAGUGUGGAAUUUCCCCUUUUUUUUAAAUUACAUGCUAUCUUAAUUUAUUAAUCAUUAUUAAUUGCAGAUUGUUGGUGCUUCAAAUCCCUAUCAAGCACUUGGUCUCAUGAGCGUAUAGCGUUUGAACACUGCAUAGGAGUCGUGUUAUUUUUUGGAGAUAAUUGUCCAGGGUCAAGGGAUGUAAACAGAAUCCAAGCAUCACCAGUGGUGUGGUUGGAAUGCUAUGUGUGCCUGCCUGUACAGUCUUGAAGUGUCGCAGUUACAGACAAAUCAGAACGAGCAUUCAAUUAUCAUUUCACUGUCUCCCUUCACGGCUAAGACGUUUCAACAGCAUGAGAUAUGUCGUGUUUGUCCACCUUAAAGCCGUUCUAGGCACAUGCAUGUGAGCAGGAGCCCUCCAAAAGCACUGUUUAGCACUGCUACUUAACAGUUAACACAGAGAACAAAGCCAGCCCUUUCGCCACAAUGCAUGCUGGGAAUAUUGGCCAGCGAGUGAAAGUGCCUGCUCACUUCUAGAGAGCUGCCUCCGAAAAAAAAAAAAAAAGGACAAAAAAAAGAAAGAAAAAACAACUCCUUUCCACAACUGAAAAACCAAGUUUCAAAGUAUAAAUGAGCGCAGCAACAAAGGAGACCCUCAGAGCUGAAGGCUGAGCCGUGCUCUUAAAGAGAUAUCACGGAACAUUCCUCGAUCUGGCCCAGAGAAAACCACACACAACAACGGCGGAGGGCUGUUGAACGCUGCAUUACCUGCACACUUGAACGGCCUCUCUCUGACCGAGGAGCCUCUCCCCUCGUAGCUCUCAUAUGGCCGAUUCAUAAAAAAACCUCUUAAUUCUGCGGGAUGAUGUUUAGUAUUUCAUAACUACAUUACCGUGGUGCUGUACGUAUGAAGCCAAUAGGAUAUAGGUUACAUUGCCUGUGCUAUUUCCCAGACGAUCACCCAAGUGCCAUUUAACUUAAGCAUCUAUUGAUAGGUCUUUGUUUGUCAAAGUGAUUCCCUGAAAUAAUGAUUUGCUUUUAGUGGAAAAAAUGGUCAGGGCAAAACAGGAAGUGAACCUCGGAUGGAUUAGAUUAUGGACAACAAGUGGCAUGGAGCUGAGAUGGAUAAACUGUUUGUUUCCUCGUUCUAGCUUUAACAUUAACUGCAGUUUAGUGUACUCACGCACUAUCUCAGUUAUAACUCUCUGUGCUCGCACUAGCUCAAUUGUGUAGAAUAAGGCCAAAUCAUUCAAAUAAAUGAACUUAUUUCAAGUUUAAAUAGUUAUGUGUAUACUGGACAUUUAUUUAGUUAGUAUUCCAUAUAUUAAGGGGAAAUGUUUCAUACGCUGAACUGAACAGUGAAGUUAUUCAUUGGGUGGAAUAUAGUAUGAUAUAAAUACAGUACAGGGAAAUUCCUCGUUCCGACACGUUUGUCAGAAAUGUUGAGUCAUAUCCUUUGUAUUGACACCACAAUCAGAGACGAUUUAAGCGGGAUAUUUUUCUGGUGGGGCGGUUCUAAAAAAAAAUAAGGUGAAAUAAGGGUUCUCGUCACAACGAUCGUGCGGGGGCACGUUUCAUUUCUCAUAUGUAAAACGACUUCAGUCAUGCGAUUUCCGAGACGACGUUGUAGUCUUCGCCUUGUAACGAGUUGAGUAUUGCUGUUUGCACAACGUAAUGCGACAAACACAUUAAAAAAGCUCCUGAUUGCUCCUCAACCUCCUUUUUGGCCCCCGCCAGCCAACCGCCACGUCUCCCUCGCCGCCACCCUGAUUAAGUGGCAGAAGUACUGUUGUUGGCAUGUAGGGGGGCCCACAGCCAGGGCUCAGAUGCUGUGGAGAGGGCCCUGAGCCAGCCUUUGAUUCCUGCUCCCCUGUUCGUCUCUCAGAGCCCCGGCAGACUCCCUCCAUGUUGGCAGAGCUGGCAAAAACAUUCAGACAAAAGCACACGUAAUCACCUUAAUUAGCCAAGCCCCUACCUCUCUGACCCCGCUCCUGCAGGUUCACGGUGUGUGUGUGUGUGUGUGUGUGUGUGUGUGUGUGUGUGUGUGUGUGUGUGUGUGUGUGUGUGUGUGUGUGUGUGUGUGUGUGUGUGUGUGUGUGUGUGUGUGUGUGUGUGUGUGUGUGUGUGUGUGUGUGUGUGUGUGCGCGCGCGAGAGUUGGGGUGUGUGUGUGUGGUUGGGUGUGCGUGUGUGUGUGUGUUAUUCUGACUCAGUCUGUCUGCCUAAACAACUUGCCUGCCUGCCUGCCUGCCUUCCUGCCUGUCUGUCUGCCUGUCUGUCUGCUCUCCCAUCCGUUUGACUUUCCGUCUCUCUGCCUGUCUACAUGCAUGCAUACACAUCCAGGCAAUCAUCCCUCAUGAAUCCCGACUGGUCUCACACGCAGACCCUGUGUUCCACAUGUAGCGGGACCUAGUGCCUCAUGGGAAGUGGUGUUGUGUGUUGAUGUUGUGUGUGUGUGUGUGUGUUUGUGUUUAAGUGUGUUUGAGCGUAGGUGUGUGUGUUUGCAUGUGUUUGUGUGCGUGUGUGUGCAGACGUGUUUAGUGUGUGUGUGUGUGUGUGUGUGUGUGUGUGUGUGUGUGUGUGUGUGUGUGUGUGUGUGUGUGUGUGUGUGUGUGUGUGUGUGUGUUUGCAGGGAGAGUGCUGUCCAUCUGUCUGCAGGUGGAGCAGCCGUAUUAUAUGGCACAGUGACAGGGCGAGGGUCUCUGUCUCGCUCCUCCAGGGUGGGUGGAUGUUCCCCGGGGGGGUGGGGGGGGAGUUAUUCUUGGCAGGCGGGGGGUGACAGAGCAAGCUGCCCCGGGUCCCGAGGUCGCCACUGGACUACAUCCAACGAGACACACAUUCACGCACACGCCCACUCAUACACAUGCUCUCACACACACACACACACACACACACACACACACACACACACACACACACACACACACACACACACACA